rnacentral:ribozyme from 13 species
GAAGAAAGAAAAGAAGAAGAGCAAAGAGGGAAGAGAGAAAGAUGGUCUUCUGAAUGUGCCUCUUCAUUUUCUUUUUUCUCCUCUCCGCUCUCUCCUCUCUC